GAUGAACGCUGGCGGCGUGCCUAAUACAUGCAAGUCGAGCGAACAGACGAGGAGCUUGCUCCUCUGACGUUAGCGGCGGACGGGUGAGUAACACGUGGAUAACCUACCUAUAAGACUGGGAUAACUUCCGGAAACCGGAGCUAAUACCGGAUAAUAUAUUGAACCGCAUGGUUCAAUAGUGAAAGACGGUUUUGCUGUCACUUAUAGAUGGAUCCGCGCCGCAUUAGCUAGUUGGUAAGGUAACGGCUUACCAAGGCAACGAUGCGUAGCCGACCUGAGAGGGUGAUCGGCCACACUGGAACUGAGACACGGUCCAGACUCCUACGGGAGGCAGCAGUAGGGAAUCUUCCGCAAUGGGCGAAAGCCUGACGGAGCAACGUCGCGUGAGUGAUGAAGGUCUUCGGAUCGUAAAACUCUGUUAUUAGGGAAGAACAAAUGUGUAAGUAACUAUGCACGUCUUGACGGUACCUAAUCAGAAAGCCACGGCUAACUACGUG
rnacentral:rRNA from 1 species